CUCUCCCUCUCAUUUUACCAUUGAGGAAAAUAAGGCACAUGGGAGAUUAAUUGACUUGCCCAAAGUUUCUUAGGUAAGCAGUAGAGACAGAAUUUGAACCCAUGUCCUCUGACUCCAGAAUCAGUACUUUUUCCAUUGUACUCUGCUGCUUCAAGCCCUGCCUCUGAGAUAUACUCAGUGUGGCUCUGAGGACAACACUUACCUGCUCUCUGCCCCCAGCCAAUUCUAGAUUUUCAGCUGUUGAGCAGUUGUGUUGAUAGGAGGAGAUUGCUUGUUAGAAGUUCCCUCGACCCAGAUAAAGAACAAAAACAAAAACAAACCACUCUCUAAAUCAUUGACUGUGGUAAUAAUAUCUCAAUAUGGUUAGAGUUGCUGAAAUACUCAAAAUGAAUGACAAAGAACCAGUUGAUGGGUCUAGAGAUAAUUUUUAUGCUUAGCUAGAUAUUCAAAAGGUUAUAGAAUGAAAGCAGUUUAGCUGAAUGGGCAGCCCAGCAGGUCACUCUACUUCUGUCAAAACCCCGCCCUGAUCUUCAGCUGGGUAACAAGCUAUUCAUUUCCUAGUACUUUUUGGAAACUGCCAACUUUAAGACAUAAACAGGUUGAUCUAAGCUGGUGAUGUGUGUGGGUGAAGAUGGUGUGAAAGAAGACUUGACAGAGAAGCACAACAGAGGAUAUAAUUCGAUUUGUUCAACUCUGUGAAGAAAAAUGCUAUUAUUAUCUCCAUUCUAUUGAUGAAGAAACUGAGACUAAGAGGAUGCCCUGCAGUCUGCUGGAUAUUGGAUCUGGUCAGUCAGACAGACACAGUUCUUUCCCUCUACUGGUGUAAAAGUUGUGAUAGGCAUCACCAACAGACAAAUACUCCAAGGAACAACAAACCAGGAACAGCCAAGGCCACAAAGAAAUAAAUGAAUGAAAGCUCUCAAUAAACCACAUUUAUAUCUGCA
rnacentral:lncRNA from 1 species